CCACAUCGACGGGGAAGGGGUCGGUUGCCCUUCGGUCUGGUUUGUGUGAAAACGAACCACAUCGACGGGGAAGGGGUCGGUUGCCCUUCGGUCUGGUUUGUGUGAAAACGAACCACAUCGACGGGGAAGGGGUCGGUUGCCCUUCGGUCUGGUUUGUGUGAAAAUGAACCACAUCGACGGGUAAUGGUGUGAACUAACCAACCAAAUUUAAAUUCUUCAGUGAAAUAUGUGUAUGGAAUCGAUCAUAAAAAUUACUUGCAAGGUAACAAUAAAAAUAACAUUGCAGUGACAAAAGAUCAACCAGACCAACGACUCAUUGGGGGAAAAGUCCUCAAGUGACCCACCUACUCCCUGAUUGCUCCUAACGAUGACUGAUGGAAAAGGCCUUCAUCACCCCCACCGCUGAUGGAUGACCUCAGUGAUCCUGCUCUCAGGCUCAGAAGUCUGCCUCAAAAAUUGUGGAAUCCUCCUGGAUCAUCUGGUUUUUCGUCUCGGAUUUUGCCCUUCAUUGGACGUCCAUCGCCAUCCCUCCACCCUGCUGAUGAAUGACCGUAAUUACCAUACCUUCGGUCUCAGUAGUCUUCCUCAAGAAAUGCUGCAGGAACCCUCCUGGAUCAUUGCCCCAACGACAACGGAAUAGAACCUCAUCGCCACCCUGCUGAUGGAUGGCCCAGUGACCCUAACAUCAGGUUCAACAGUCUUCCUCAAGAAAUGCUGCAGGAAUCCUCCUGGAUCAUGUUGUUCUUGUCUCAGAUUUUGCCCUUCAUCGCCCCCACCCAUCGACCGACAGAGGAAAAUGGAUGACCUUAAAACGUCUUCAGUUCCUUUUUGUUCAGUUUCUGGAUACGUCUUUAGUGUGGCCUCAUCUAGACAUUGGUUAUUUAAAAAAAAAAAUAAAAUUAAUGGACAAUUUUGUUUAGAGACUUCGUAAUUAAUUUUUUGUUUAUUUGUUUUAGAUAUUUAAAAUGUCUUCCAAUUUUAGUGUGUUAGAAUUUAAUUUGUAUUGAUUUUUGAGGAUGUUCUUGCAUCAUUUUAGCGUUACCAUGGUUAUGGCUUUUCUUAUGGGAAGGCUUAGAGUGGUUUAUUGUGAUCUGUCUGUAUUUAUGCUGCUGUUUGUCAUUUUCUGUUCCUACUAUGUUAUUUAUUUAAACAGUUUUUGUUUCC